AAUCUUGCUCUGUCACCCAGGCUAGAGUGCAGCGGCAUGAUCUUGGCUCACUGCAACCUCCGCCUCCUGGGUUCAAGCGAUUCUUCUGCCUCAGUCUCCCAAGUAGCUGGGACUACAGUGAGCACAGGGAGGAGGAGGUGCAUGCAAGCGAUACUGCAGGGCCAGAAUCAGAAUCAUCAGCACGUAGCAACUGAUUGGAUUUCUGGAGCAAGAAAGAAGAGUUGAAGAUAAUGUUGAACUUUCUCAUUGGGAGAUUUUACUAACAUUAUUGAGCAAUUACUGCAUGAUGGAUGUUACGCUAAGAGCAUUCUACAAUUAUUAUACCUCUUACGUCUCCCAGUAGUUCUGUUAAGCACUGAAUACUGUGGAUACAAAGAGCCCAGAGUCAUCAAGAGGAACCAGGAACUCUAACAUGAUGUGUGGAGCAGGCUAUGCAAAGAGGGGUACCUCUCCCAGUCAGAGGCAUCAGAGAAGGCUUCCUGGUGGAGAACGUGUGUGAUGGACUUAUGGACUCAUUCACUGCAUCGAUCUUGGGCACUGCCCAGCUUCAUGUUCCACUCUCCCGUUUAUCCCAAAUUGCUGAGGAUUUCCUAAGAACCAUCACUUUCCAGAGCUCAUUAUUUUCUGUUAUUUGCCUCAGCAGCACAAGCUGUUUUCACAAAGAAAUAAAGGGUCUUCUAUUCCAGAAGAGUUCUUCUAUGCAUGUAGGUGAGCAGACAGUGCAGAGCCAUGCUGAGGUGUGUGUGCCUUGCUGUCACUGUCUCUCCUCCGGGAGGAACACUAGGCUCCUGUACACCAGGCUUCCCACAGCCCAGGAGGAACACAUCCACGCCUUGCCAGUCAUUUGCAUCUUAGUAAGACUAAAACUAAUAAAACUAACAAUAAAACUUAAAAUAGA
rnacentral:lncRNA from 1 species